ensembl:lncRNA
UGUUGAACAGCUGAGCUGGUGCAGGCACCCUCCCCUCUUCCUGAUUUCGGUGGGAAAGUUUCUAAAGUUCCACCAAGUUUCAUUGCUUGCUCUGAAUUUAUGGCUGAAUAUAUGGCAGGAACCACUUCUCCUACCUUCAGUUCCAAUUGGAAAAUGAAUUUCUCAGUUUCUUAUCAACUUAAAUGAUGUGCUCCUCGUCCCCUGCCCUCCUCUCUCUUCUCUCAGAGCCUCAGACUAAGUGAAAAUAUUCCCCUCAGCAUUUGCUGUCUGCUUUCAAGGCUCUUCUAGACGACCUGCCCAUGCUCAGCGUCAAGUGGAGCCGAGAGGGAGGAGCAGCAGGAGCAGGAAGAAAAGGGGAGCUUGCAAAGCUUGCAGAGCUGGCCGGAAGGACCUGGCAGAAGUGGGGGGCCUGAUGUCCCUUUCGCAAAGCUCCCCAGGGAGGCUGUCUUGUAAGGGAUGCUUCCAUCGCUUGUCAUCUCAAGACUCCCCUGGGGAGGCAUGCAAGACAGCAUCUGCUAGAGUCCGCCAGCCAUGCGGGAAGCCUGUGGAAGGUGCUCCUCUCACCAUGACCCCAGCACUUUCCCUGGCUCUUCUCACCCAGCGUACUCUACCUUUGGCCUCCACUCUGCCAGCAGAACCUCCAUCGGCCUUGACCAGAACUCCACUAGGCCCUGUUGCCACGAGCUCAGCUCCAGGUCACUCCUGUUGGCCAUUUCCCAACUCAGGCCACGGCCGCGUGAGCUGUCGCAUUGAGUUCCUCUCCAGGUGGAACAUAAUCAAGGUCUUGCUCUUCCCUGUGUCAUCACACUUCGAGUCCCAGCAAGGGCACCUGUCCUGCCACUGACCAGUGGCCUCAUUCUGGGGAGGCCCCACAAAUAGGGAGGGAGAGACUGAUAGCCCCUCAGUUGCCAACCCUGAUGUCCAGAAGCUGCUCGAGACAGAAAUCACGGAAAGAAUACAAACGGAGGUCUGGGAAAAAGAACAAGAUGAUCCACACACUCCUCAGAUGCUCGAAGCACACACUAUCAUGUCUGGGCUGAAUUCACGCUGGGGCCUACCCCUCCUGUCUUUGGGGCCUGCAGAUCUGAAAGCAUGUGAGGCUCAACACUCGGCCCUUCCACGGUCCCCUUUUCCCCCCGCAGCCACCUGUGAUUCUGGGGCCCCCUCGAAAGCUGACUUUGCACACUUCAUGGGAAAACCUCUUGAGCCUCCUCCAGGUGACAAAGUCUUAACUUUGACAACAAAAGCAUCAGUUCCCAGCCUGGCCCAUCCCCUCCCUGCUCCCUCACCUGUGUGUGAGGAAAAUCAGAAGGCCCUGGGAGGGACCCUACCUGGCGAUGGCAGUGGGCCCUCAGAAGCCUCUCUCUUGGGACAGGAGGGCUGGCCGCCUUCUCCAACCUUCCCAUUCAGCCUCUCAGAGAGAAAAGGGCAGAGUGGGACCUUCGUGGGGGCCGAGCAAGGCCGUUGAGAGCUGACUUCAGGGUCAGCAGUGGCCAGGAAUGAGCCUCGGGAGGAGAGUAGGGGUGGGGCCUCACCAGAGCCCUGCCAUGGGGUGGCAACUCUGGAGGGGGAGUCAGGGUCCCAGUCUUGGAGCCAGGUCGGGGGAAUAGGAGACACCCUAGGGACCAAACCCCUCAAGCCCCUGCCUGAAAAGGAAGAGGUUUUUCAUGACAGCCCUUUCAGAAAAAUGUUGAGACGCCUCCUGCCCUGCCUGAGGCCCAACAAGGAUGAAGCACCAGAGGAUCCCCUUGCAAAGGCAAGCCCGCAUCAGCCACCGCUCAGAGCCGGGCACGGGUCACACACAGCUCGGCGUUGGAUGGCAGGGCUGUUCAGGAACCAUCGACAGUGACAUCCUUUGCAUCCUGGGAGAGAAACUGAGGCUUGCCGAGAACUUUUGGCCUCCCAGUUGAAGCAUCAUAAAAACCAUUUCAGGCCUGGGAAGCUGGACAUACCUGUUACCACGACGUUCCCUCCUCCCCAGAGCAGAGAAGAACAAUGACAGAGGACAGUCCCCAACCUACCUCCAGGAACCACAACUGUCCGACUACGAGGGAAUGGAUCAGAAUAGGCAUGGCAACUGGACCUUGCCAUCCAGGCAGCCGCGGUCCCCAGCCAAACCCUGCCAGCCUGUGCUAAGGGUGGCAGCUGCCUCAGCCAAUCCAUUACCCGCCAUGCUGUCCUCAGAUAUGUGUCUCCUGGGAUGAGUAGACUGUGUCUGACACACCUUUCCUCAUAGGAACGCUUAUCUCCCCAAAUGGGGAAGUGGAGGAACAGAAAACCUGGUUUUUCUCCUUAUCCCACCCUCUGUGCUAACGGUGUCUUCCUACCCCAGUUUUCCCCAAAUACGCUUUUUUUCUCCUUAGAGGUUGUGGCUUCUGUUUGUGCCCUGCUAGUGGCAAAAACGGGGUCAGGCUCCGCCCUUCCUGAGUGUCUGCUUUGGCUUCCAGAAGAGACAGGGCCAUGGGGGGAGGCUGACUGCAGAGUGGCUCACCUGACCUCUCCCCAACUCCCCCAUUGCACCUGAAGUUCCCAUCACACCGUCCUUACAAAAACAAAUGGAAGCUUUGGGCUAUUUGCAGAUGAGCAAAACCUCUAAGGCCCCAGCCCAGGAUGGGCCCCGUCUGUCCUCUCCUGCAUUCUCUGGCCCUUGAACUUGUGGGGCUGUAGGGAGGGGGUUUGCAGAGGAUCCAGGAAGUGUAGAGACAGGUUCACAGGUCACAGAGUGGGAAGGGGAGUGUGGGGCAGUGCUGGCCCUGAGUCCGGGGGGCGAGGAAGCUUGCCCUGCACCCCAAGCUCUUGGUGGGAAUAGAUGACGCUGCCCCGGGAGCUUCUUCUCUCCCUGAUGAAGCUGCCAUGGAGAUGGGCCUGCGCAUCCCUCUUGGCCCAGCGUCACCGUCCCUCUGUCCUUGUCACAGUCUGGAGCAGCAGCGACAAGGAUGACUGUGCUCCCGGC